rnacentral:rRNA from 1 species
AUAAUGGGUCAGCGACUUAUAUUCUGUAGCAAGGUUAACCGAAUAGGGGAGCCGAAGGGAAACCGAGUCUUAACUGGGCGUUAAGUUGCAGGGUAUAGACCCGAAACCCGGUGAUCUAGCCAUGGGCAGGUUGAAGGUUGGGUAACACUAACUGGAGGACCGAACCGACUAAUGUUGAAAAAUUAGCGGAUGACUUGUGGCUGGGGGUGAAAGGCCAAUCAAACCGGGAGAUAGCUGGUUCUCCCCGAAAGCUAUUUAGGUAGCGCCUCGUGAAUUCAUCUCCGGGGGUAGAGCACUGUUUCGGCAAGGGGGUCAUCCCGACUUACCAACCCGAUGCAAACUGCGAAUACCGGAGAAUGUUAUCACGGGAGACACACGGCGGGUGCUAACGUCCGUCGUGAAGAGGGAAACAACCCAGACCGCCAGCUAAGGUCCCAAAGUCAUGGUUAAGUGGGAAACGAUGUGGGAAGGCCCAGACAGCCAGGAUGUUGGCUUAGAAGCAGCCAUCAUUUAAAGAAAGCGUAAUAGCUCACUGGUCGAGUCGGCCUGCGCGGAAGAUGUAACGGGGCUAAACCAUGCACCGAAGCUGCGGCAGCGACGCUUAUGCGUUGUUGGGUAGGGGAGCGUUCUGUAAGCCUGUGAAGGUGUACUGUGAGGUAUGCUGGAGGUAUCAGAAGUGCGAAUGCUGACAUAAGUAACGAUAAAGCGGGUGAAAAGCCCGCUCGCCGGAAGACCAAGGGUUCCUGUCCAACGUUAAUCGGGGCAGGGUGAGUCGACCCCUAAGGCGAGGCCGAAAGGCGUAGUCGAUGGGAAACAGGUUAAUAUUCCUGUACUUGGUGUUACUGCGAAGGGGGGACGGAGAAGGCUAUGUUGGCCGGGCGACGGUUGUCCCGGUUUAAGCGUGUAGGCUGGUUUUCCAGGCAAAUCCGGAAAAUCAAGGCUGAGGCGUGAUGACGAGGCACUACGGUGCUGAAGCAACAAAUGCCCUGCUUCCAGGAAAAGCCUCUAAGCAUCAGGUAACAUCAAAUCGUACCCCAAACCGACACAGGUGGUCAGGUAGAGAAUACCAAGGCGCUUGAGAGAACUCGGGUGAAGGAACUAGGCAAAAUGGUGCCGUAACUUCGGGAGAAGGCACGCUGAUAUGUAGGUGAAGUCCCUCGCGGAUGGAGCUGAAAUCAGUCGAAGAUACCAGCUGGCUGCAACUGUUUAUUAAAAACACAGCACUGUGCAAACACGAAAGUGGACGUAUACGGUGUGACGCCUGCCCGGUGCCGGAAGGUUAAUUGAUGGGGUCAGCGCAAGCGAAGCUCUUGAUCGAAGCCCCGGUAAACGGCGGCCGUAACUAUAACGGUCCUAAGGUAGCGAAAUUCCUUGUCGGGUAAGUUCCGACCUGCACGAAUGGCGUAAUGAUGGCCAGGCUGUCUCCACCCGAGACUCAGUGAAAUUGAACUCGCUGUGAAGAUGCAGUGUACCCGCGGCAAGACGGAAAGACCCCGUGAACCUUUACUAUAGCUUGACACUGAACAUUGAGCCUUGAUG